rnacentral:rRNA from 1 species
UACUAGAUGGUUCGAUAAGUCUUUCUCCCCCAUGCGCAGAUUUGACGAUCGAUUUGCACGUCAGAACCGCUGCGAGCCUCCACCAGAGUUUCCUCUGGCUUCACCCUAUCCACGCAUAGUUCACCAUCUUUCGGGUCCGAACAGUUAUGCUCUUACUCAAAUCCAUCCGAAGACAUCAGGAUCGGUCGAUGAUGCACCCGUGAGGCUCUCACCUCCGUUCACUUUCAUUGCGCAUAAGGGUUUGACACCCGAAUACUCGCACAAAUGUUCGACUCCUUGGUCCGUGUUUCAAGACGGGUCGUUGACGACCAUUACGCCAGCAUCCUUGCCGAAGCGCGGUCCUCGGUCCCCGCAAGGUAUUAUGCGAGGGGCUAUAACACUCCCGAGGGAGCUACGUUCCCCAGGCUUUUAUCCCCCUGCGGAAACCGAUGCUGGCCUCAACCCAGCGAAGUGCACCGGUGAGAACACCGGAUGAUCCGCUGNGAAAAGGUCUGGUCGUAAACGCUUCCCUUUCAACAAUUUCACGUGCUAUUUAACCCUCUUUUCAAAGUGCUUUUCAUCUUUCGAUCACUCUACUUGUGCGCUAUCGGUCUCUGGCCAAUAUUUAGCUUUAGAAGAAAUUUACCUCCCAUUUAGAGCAGCAUUCCCAAACUACUCGACUCGUCGAAGGAGCUUUACAGAGGCUUGGUGUCCAACCGUACGGGGCUCUCACCCUCUAAGGCGUCCCGUUCCAGGGAACUCGGAAGGCACCGCGCACAAANCAUCCUCUGCAAAUUACAACUCGGACCCGAAGGCCAGAUANCAAAUUUGAGCUGUUGCGCUUCACUCGCCGUUACUAGGGCAAUCCCUGUUGGUUUCUUUUCCUCCGCUUAUUGAU